UCCACCGGUUCCUGAGGCGGCCUGGAUUGCCAAAAAACUUUUGGGCGUCCGGGGCCUAGUGGAGCCGAAGCCAGGAACGAUCCGGGUACGUACCUGUGUACCUGGGAGUCUCACACUACACUACACGCCUUUUUCAGGAUACCUGACACGCUUAACCGGCUUAAAAGGAUAAUUUAGCGGAGCGCGGUGAAAAACACAACUUCCUCCGAUGUUUAUGCACGGAUACUUCCUGUUGGCUCCUCCUAUUCCUCCCACUGACACAUCCUGCUCCUGCUUGACUCCAUGUGUGGCAUCGGCGGAGGCACACUAACAUAUGCUAAUAGCAAUUUGUGGUAAUGAAGUUGAUUAACAUUGCAGCCAGGAGUGACAACAACAACAACAACAGAGGCAGGAACACGACGCGGAGACAGCUCUCGCUGGCUCCUUGCUCUCCUUGGUGUACGUGAUUACAUAAAUGUAGAGGUAAUUCUCCAAUAUCGACUGAAACAUUUUUACUUUUGUACAACAUUUGCAUUCAAAGUGAAACUGACAAGAAGGAAAGCUAUCUUUUGUUGUUUUAUUUAAUUUUUAUUUACUCAAGAUUUAACUUCUUAAUUAAAGUUUCGUUUUUCAAGGAUGUUUUUUAAUCUAAUUUCCUUCUAAUAAAUAAUUUAAAUUUUAAGAUUACACCAGAAGUGCAGAUAAUCCUUGUAAUAAAACCUUUAUAAUAACAUAUUUCUGAAAAGUAA